rnacentral:rRNA from 1 species
CGACGGGUAGCGGGACUGAGAGGUUGGCCCGCAACAUUGGGACUGAGACACUGCCCGGACCUCCACGGAGGGCUGCAGUAACGAAUAUUGGGCAAUGAGCGAAAGCUUGACCCAGCGACGCCGCGUGUAGGAGGAAGUCUUUCGGGAUGUAAACUACUGUCAGGGGGACGAAAGUGCGCUUCGGUGCAUUGAUCGAACCCAGAGGAAGUCACGGCUAACUUCGUGCCAGCAGCCGCGGUAAGACGAAGGUGGCAAGCGUUGUUCGGUAUUACUGGGCUUAAAGCGUGUGUAGGCGGAAGCGUAAGCGUUUUGUGAAAUCCCUCGGCUUAACCGAGGAAUUGCUUGGCGAACUGCGUUUCUUGAGGCAGGUAGGGGUGCGCAGAACUCUUGGUGGAGCGGUGGAAUGCGUAGAUAUCAAGAGGAAUGCCGGUGGAGAAGUCGGUGCACUGGGCCUGACCUGACGCUGAGACACGAAAGCGUGGGGAGCGAACGGGAUUAGAUACCCCGGUAGUCCACGCCGUAAACGAUGCCUACUAGGUUGUGUGGUUCUGACGCCAGCACAGCCGAAGCUAAAGUGUUAAGUAGGCCGCCUGGGGAGUACGGUCGCAAGGCUAAAACUCAAAGGAAUUGACGGGGGCUCACACAAGCGGUGGAGCAUGUGGAUUAAUUCGAAUCAACGCGCAGAACCUUACCAGGGUUUGACAUGCUUGGAUGCCGCCGAGGAAACUCGGUUAGGCUGCCUUCGGGUGAAACUUGCACAGGUGCUGCAUGGCUGUCGUCAGCUCGUGUCGUGAGAUGUCGGGUUAAGUCCCUUAACGAGCGAAACCCUUGCCGCUAGUUGCCAGCGAGUCAUGUCGGGGACUCUAGCGGGACUGCCGGUGUUAAACCGGAGGAAGGUGGGGAUGACGUCAAGUCAUCAUGGCCUUUAUGCCCUGGGCUUCACACGUGCUACAAUGGUCAGAACAGAGCGACGCAAGACCGUGAGGUGGAGCAAAUCGCAAAAAUCUGGCCCCAGUUCGGAUUGCAGGCUGGCAACUCGCCUGCAUGAAGGUGGAAUCGCUAGUAAUCGCGUAUCAGCGAUGACGCGGUGAAUGUGUUCCUGAGCCUUGUACACACCGCCCGUCAAGUGAUGGGAGUUGGGAGUACCCGAAGUCGUCUUGCUAACCCCUCGGGGAGGCGGAUGCCGACGGUAAGCCCGAUGACUAGCACUAAGUCGUAACAAGGUA